GACGAACCGUGCGAACGUUAUUCGGAAUCACUGGGCUUAAAGCGCGCGUAGACGGGUGGCCGCGUCGACGGCUGAAAUACCCCGGCUCAACCGGGGAAGGGGCCUCGAUACGGGUCACCUCGAGCGGAGGAGGGGGACCUGGAACUGCCGGUGGAGCGGUGAAAUGCGUUGAGAUCGGCGGGAACACCGACGGCGAAAGCAGGGUCCUGGACUCCGACUGACGUUGAGGCGCGAAAGCCAGGGGAGCGAACGGG
rnacentral:rRNA from 1 species